rnacentral:miRNA from 1 species
UCAUUCUCCUCUAAACCUUCUUGCAUUGUCUCAUACCAGAAGCUCAUGUGUGAGACAAUGCAAGAAGGUUCAGAGGAGAAUG